CAGCCUCCCCAACCCUAUCGCCGUAGGCAGCUAGGCUAGGUUUCUUUCAAGGCGGUGGAGAUGCAAUUUUCGAGUAGCUUCCUUCCCAGUCCGCACUGCAACGGUAAAAAAAUUCCCCUCCUCUCCUCGUCUCGCCCUCCUCGACGAUUCGCCAUCAUUUCGCCCCGAGCCAUGCCGCCCGCCGGCCCCUUGGAAUCGAAGAUGUCGUACGCCUACCCCGCCGGCGCCGAGGUCGACCUCCUCCCCUGAUCUUCGCCAAGCGCCCGCCGUUCUCGUCGGUGUUGCCGGCCUCUCGACCUCCUCGCUCGGUACUUGGUACCUCUCACUGGAGCGCCGCCCGACUACCGGUGGUCGGCACCCGUAGACCGUCGUCAAGCCCCGCCCCACCCGACGAACUCCAUCUGGAGGCUGGCUUAUCUUGAUGAACUAAACCAGACAAGGGAGCUCCUCCGCCACUCGGUUCUCUACCUUCCUUUUGGAGAAAUGGGGUCGCACCUCGCCUAGGGUUUGUUUCAUGGAGGCGAGCCGAGGUGCAUCCGCCAUGGCCACGGCGUGGUGCAGGGUAUGGUGGCCACGGGGGAGGCUGCAGCCCAAGCCGCCCGCAAGGCUCGUACUGUUCGGAUGGCUCUUCGCCCGCACGAGCUCCGUUGACGUUGUGGUCGCGACGGCCCUCCUGCACGAGGAAAUAUUGCUGUCCUUCCCCACCCUAGAAGCACUCCAGUUGGAACUUAAAGCAAGCCAACUUCUCGAGCCCACUAAAUUGAGUGAACUCCGCAUGAGCAUAGCAAGAAGCCUUUCAGAGCUGGAGAUGUUUACUGAAGAAGGAGAGCGGUUGUCAACAGCCAGGAGAAAGAUGGCCAUCAAUGAGACGAUCCUUAUCUUGUCAACAGAAGUAUUCGGAGGCAGUGGCGCAGACAUGGUCUAAUUGCUUUAUGGGAGUUCUCUGAAGAGAAUAUUAAUCAAAGAAUUGAACAAGAUAUGAUGGCUCUAAAGCAGCAAGUAGAGGAUCCCAAUGAGAAAAACAUACAAAUAUUGAUUACACAGUGGAUCUGUUGAAUGCUGCAGACUAUCGGGAAAAUAAGACCCACACUGGUUGGUUAUACAGCAGAAUAUCUAUGCAUGUUAGAGCUGAGAGGCCCCCAUGGUAUCUUUCGUUGUUGGAGGAGCUCUAUAUGAAGCAUCAAGCAGGAGCUCAAGUGUUUUUACCGAUUAUGUUGGUUAUCUAAGUAAAGGUCAAAUACCACCAAAGAUGGAUAUGGUAGGACGUGGACUCGGUAGCUACACAUUUAGCAUGAAUGGGUCAGAGAUUGAAGCUGAGAUACACUCAUUGAGAUAUGGAGGACUCUUGAUGCAAUUGGAUGGAAACAUUCAUGUAUUUAUGCGGAGACAGAGCCUGCUGGUUGGAUUAACCUUUCAAUUAAUGUUGCAAUUAACAUGCCACUUUGCAACCAUGUCUGUCCCCACAUAUCUGGCGUUAACCAUCGCAACGCACCUACGCCACGCCCCUCACUCCGCCAUCGACACGCCGCGCCGCUGCCUCACCUCCCCCUUGGCCUCCGCUCCCUUGCCAUGCCGCCACCAAGCUUGCCUCUUCCUCAGCCCGCCGCCGCCGCUGCUCCCUCGCCCCCGCGCCCCUCAGCCCGCUGCCGAUGCAAUUGCCCUCCCUUGCCGGAAGCCACUCGGAUGGCCGGACCCCUCCGUGGCCCUCGCCUGCGGCCACCGCGCCCCUCCCUUGCCGGAUGCCGCCGUGGGCCUGCGGACGUCCAUCGCCCGGUGCUGCCCUCAAGAAGUUGUUUGUGCUACUUGACAUGUAUGAAAUAAUGUGUGAACUUCAAGAACAUAUUGACACCAUCUUUGUUGGAGAAUCAUGCUCUCAAAUGCGUGAGUCUGCAUUGAGUUUGACAAAAUGCUUAGCACAACCUGCGCAGAAGACUUUCAGUGAUUUUGAAGAAGCUGUCGAACAGGACGCAACAAAAAAUAUUCAUAUUGAUGGGACAGUGCAUCCUUUGACGAGCUACGUGAUUAACUAUGUUAAAUUUUAUUUGAGUAAGUAUACAUUCAUAUCAUAUGCACUUAACCUUUCAUGUAAUUAGAUAGGUGCCUGGCUAUGUUAUCAUGUGUUUCUUCUUCAAACCUAUCCACCAAAACCACAAAACACAAAACACUCAUUUGUAGCUGAACUUCUUUUGUACCAUUCUUGCAAACAUUGUCUUGACAUGAUAUCUGAUUUUUUUUUUACCUAUUUAAUACCUGUUCAAAAUGUUUUGUUUUGCCAAGCUGCAAUUAACCUCUGUGCAGCUAUCAGUCAACUCUAAUCUAAAACAGCUCUUCGAGGAGUUCAAAAGGGAAGAUGGAACAGGUUCAGAGCUGGUCACUGUAACCAUGAGUAUCAUGCAGGCUUUACAGAACAAUCUGGAUGCAAAAGCAAAAUAAUACAAGCAUCCUGCUUCGAUGCACAUAUUUUUUAUGUACAUUCAUUAUAUCGUGAAAUCUGUCCGCAGAUCAGAAGCCAAAGAUUUAUUGGGGGGUGACUGGAUUCAAAGGCAUCGAAGAAUUGUGCAGCAAAAUGCAAAUCAAUAUAGAAGGAUUGCUUGGUCAAAGGUCUUGCAAUGCUUCUCUGGUCAAGGUCUCUCAUCGAGAACAGUAAAGCACCUGGAAAAUACGUGAAGCACACUCCUGAGCAAGUUGAGAGGGCUGUAGGGAUGCAUAUGGUGAAUGUAAAAUGGGAAAUUUGGCUGAUGUUCGCGUUGACCAGCUUUGGAAGGAAUGGAGACCAGUCGAAGAUCAGUGGCUGUAACAGAAUGAGGAACUAACCGCUUUUCUCUCUGUCCAUGAGGAGAAAGCUUGGAUUUAGUUGGAGCCUGCAACAAGCAAAUUAACUAAUAACAGACUGCAUUGUGAAACCCUGCACGAAUAUAAACUAGGGUACAAGGCCAUUCAAGAUGGGACUAAUUCCACUACUUUCAAGGUAAACAUCUUUGUAAUAAUUGCUUAUAUGGGUGCUAAGAUAACGUUGGAGGAUAAUUAUAUGGAACACAUAAAACGGGAAUUUUUUUUAUUUGAGAUUUCCUUGGAGCUAGAGAGUGCAUUUUUACUCCAAGGUGAUUAUAGCAUUGCUAUAACUUUUCCCAUUCUAUUGAUAUAUUAAUUCCAUUACCCAAUUGAGUUUUAUGAUUCAGUUAUUCAUUUUCCCACCUCUCUUCAAGUAUGCCAACUAUGCUCUUCGUGGUUUAUGUCAAAUCAAAAUUAUAGUUCUGUAACUAAUAGGCAAGGGCUGCUUGGAGAAAGUCUGAAGAUGUUUAACUAUCUUUACUAUUUUGCUCUCACAUGUUUGUUAUACGUUUGAAUGGAUAUGCAUAACCAUCUAUUGUUUUUAUUGAAAGAAUGUUAUCAACCAUAAGAAAAUGACUAAGAAAGCAUAUCUAACUUUCUCAUCCAGAUUUGAAAUAUCAUGUGCUGACCUAGGUCAUGUCACCUGCCUGCUUAUCAACAUAUUAAGCAUGCCAUUAUAAUGUACUCUUUCACAGAAAUGUUCUGUGUGUUACCUGCUUUGUACCACCACAAAAAAAAAUUAUGAUAAUCCCAACAUUUGCAUGAUAUUCAAGAACUGGAAUAAUGCUACUCUUGUUUUUUGUAUUAUGGGCUAUAAUUUUUUAGGCAACUUGGUAAAGGAAGAGGUAUCGGUAUAAACCAGGGCUAAGGUGGGAAAGGAAAUGGAGAGCAGAAUCCUACCCAUGAUAUCUACCGGGAUGGACACUACUUUGAUUUCUUUAGAAUGGUUUUGUGCUACUCUGUUGUCGUGGUUCUCUAUUUCAGUACUAUAUGUUUGCUUUGCUUUGACCUCUCCUGAUUAAAUGCCUUUAUGCACCCUUUUGAUUUCUUUCUCUAUACUAUAAAAAGGAACAAUGAUUCUGCCAAGAUUUUGGUACGUCGUAGGCCCCUUAUGUCAGCCACCUUUGCCGUAAACUCUCCUUGUGUGGCGCCUCGCCUUCACGUGCGCCCCAUACCUCAACCGAGAGUACACGAUGAUGUGGAAGUAGUAGCGGUGCUGGAUGCGGUGAUUGAUGGCGGCGAUUGGCUACACGCACGCCUCCAUGUUGAUGCUGCCCCCCUUGGCCGGCCAUGGUGGCCCGCGAGAGCUGCCCCUCCGCUUCUCUGGCAAGCUCGGCGGGCAGGGGUUUCUGUCUCUCUUGGCCGGGCUGGCUAUGGUUGCUCCCCGCAAGAGUGGCCCCUCCGCUUAAUUCUCCAGCGAGCUUGGUGGCGGGGAAUAGGGCGAUGUGGGAUGGAGUUGCUGCCUUCCUUGCUGGAUGUGGAGGCUCCAUGGCGUCCCGCUCUAUCAAGCAAAUACACUCAGCCUAUCAUAAACUGAAAAAAAAGAAGAGCAGAGCCCUCAUUUGAUUUGCUAUCAGCGUGAAAGAUAUUAAACAUUAUCUAACUUCACUAUUUGCGGUACUGGUUUGCAGGUUACAGGCGGUGGUCAGGUCUGAUAGAUAUCUGCAUGUUACAAACAUCAUCCAGCAGCAGCAUGUUUCUAUGUGAUUUUGGCUUAUGUGACAUCAAAGAUUCAUUCUCUUGUCAACAGAGAACCUCACAAAUACAUACCUUAUGUGCAAGUAUGGCCAUACCUGAUAUUCAAUCUUAGGGGUUUGCCAAAUGCCAAACACAUUCUUUGUGGGGACAAGCAAUUCUAGGUAGCUCACUGGUUCCUCCACGUAACAGUAACAACAAACACACGUUCAUAUCCCAACAAUCCUAAGCUGAUGGUUUUACCAGCAAUUUCGUUUCAGUUCUGGUGACUUCACUUGCUAGACUUUUGGUUCUUCAUACCACAUCUAAAUUUGAAUCACCGCACAUGCUUACGGCCCUUCUGUCCCAAAAGGAAUCUGGAAGUGUUGGGCUCCCCUCCGGUGCAAGUUUUUCAUUCGGUUGGCUAUUAUGUGUUUCGAAAGGGUAUUUUACGAGUUAUAAUUAUUUACUGCUGCCAAAUAUUGUUCAGUAUUUUAUAUAUGUUUUUAGCUCUGCGUUACCUUAUUUGAACUUUUAACCAGCUGUUCCAAGCAACAUGGAGAGAAAAGCUCGAUUAAGCUCUGGAUCUAACUAUCAACAUCCUUCAUUUAAUUAUUUGCUCGCAUUUACAGCUAACCCAUACUAAAAUAUGCUUUCUGGAACUCUCAGCCAUACAAUUGUCAAUUCAUCUGUGGUUAUAUUUAUCUUCCAUCCAUUUUCUUUAUGUAUAUAAUAUUUCUUGCUCUGUUAUUUAGAUCAAGAAACUCUUAGUGGUGGAUCAGCUUGCAAGUGGUAUCUCAAUGAAGAUAUACCAGAAAUAACAAUCACAGUGAUGCAGCAAAAAUUCAGUGGAUACCAGCAGAUGUCGAAUCUUUUGGUUCAUCACGGCACUCAGCAUAGCUCGAACAGAAAACAGUUGCGGAGCUUGAAAAGAUUGAUCCAUGGGAGGUUCAGGUGAUUAUACACAAAUAUCAUAGUGUACAUGAUGAUGCGAUAAUCUCGUCCAAAAAAAGAAAUGAUGAUAUUUUAAUGGUCAUUGGUCAUACUGUUAUGAGCCUUGUGAAGUUUGAAGGACGAUCAGAGAACCUUGCACGAGAGAUUGCUGCUGUUAUGUCCCAAAAGUUUACGUUUUCUGUUUCUGUUACUUAGAAAAGCUUCAUGCAAAGGAAUAUAUCAUUCCAAGUAAAUGCUUUCGAAACCUUCUUUGGUAGGCAAGGUUCUAUUCCACAGGUAUACACUGGCUGGUUCCUCUACCACACCUGCACCUCCUGUAGAUGAGACACCAAAUGAUGGCAAGAAGCGUCGCUCUAUUACACGCCAUCCUCUCAGAGCAUCAAAGAGUAUAACUUUUGAACAUGGCACUUCUAAAGAAAUGAACACACGCCCAUCUUCGACUUCCAGCGAUGAUAUGGUCAAUUUUCGUGCCACUGUGAAUGAACCGACAUCUAUGUCGUCUGAUCAGGUUAAUGUCUGUAACGAUUUCUGCUAUUCUUACAAGUUUGGACACUCAGGAUAACACAGUCAGUUUGCAUGAUCUAGAGAAAAAGAGCCACAACCAAACGCGGCCUUUCCGACGUUGCCGCUCCUCCACCACACCGCGCGCUUCUGGGAUCUCCACCGCCGCCGUCCCUCCAGCGUCGCCCUCACCGAUGCUGCUGCCCCUCCACCACGCCUCCCGCUCCUCGGAUGUCCACUACUGCUACCCCUCCACCACGCCUCCCGCGACCGACGCCGCCCCUGCACCGUGCCACGACCGAUUUUCUGCGGUUAAACAAUUUCUCGUUCUUAUAUCUUCACCGCCGCUUCAAAAUGCCAAGAAUGACACCAGAAUCAGAGAUGGCACCCUCUACUUUUAAGGAACCAUCAUGGUGUCAUCAGGACAUCAGCACAUGAUGAAAUUGAUUAGAGAAGGAAUAGAUGGUUACUGGAGAACCAUUAAUUCAAAGGAAAGAUGACUCAGCUGCAGUAUUGAAGUCAAGGGUGGAAGCCUUCCACAUACAAAGAAGGCCAAGCAAGAUACUUCUCUUCAGGAUUUACAGAUGAAAGGUUUGGGGACAAUCUUGGUUCCCCUGAUGUUUGAGUGACUGGACGUUAUGACACCUCAAAACCAAAUAUGCGUCACAUAUAUAUGGAAUGGUGGGAGACACAGGAGAGAGGAGACCAGGUCGCUUCAGUGCUUGAUAUCGGAGAAGUUGGUCCCUGAGCAACUUGUUGUUGUCAGCCUGUUAAUUACAUGUUCAAUUACAAGGAGGCAUGGAUGAUGGCGGAGCUGCAUCUGUUAGAGCAAUUAUGCAUUGGCAAUAUCGAACCAUUUGCAGAGGUCCUAUUCAAUACUUCAGAAUCUGUAUGAUGUGGUUGGUUCCAAAGCCCAUGACUAUAUUUCCUCCCUGUUUGCUGCGUGUGCGGUAUGAUGAGAUCUUGGGGCCAGGGGCCGUCAAAACAGUGUAUCCUUCCAUCCAUCUCAUGCUCUUGCUUCCAGCUCGUUUCUUGAUUGAUUGAUUAUCACAAUUUCUUACUUAUUUAUUAAUUCGUGCAAUAUACUCUAUAGAAUUCGAUUUGUUAAUCAGCGGCUCAUGAUCUGAGGCAAUUGAACCAUACCAAAACAUCUUUUCAUGAAUUACAUGUUAUGGUAAGCUCUCCGUUUGCCAUGUAGAAUCUACCUGAUACAUCCAGGAAAGCCUUCGACCAACAGUUUUCAUGUUCCUCUAAUGUGUGUUUGGUGUCUUGGCCUAAAUAUUGAUCAGGAUUAACUUAUUAACCUCCAUAGAUUGAUUGCAGGCAUGUUAAUCAAUAAAUAUUUUGGUUUAGCUAGACAUAUUUAUUUCUGCUAUCAUGUGACAGUUUGCAGCUAGUGGGGCAAAUCCUUUUGUUCUUAGCGAAAAUGCUUUGGAUUUUCUUUAGUUUCAGAUUCUAGCCCUGAAUAUCUGAAGCUGAUGGGGAAAUUUGGGAAACCAAGCCCGGAUUGAUGACUCUGUUAUGGGGUCCUCUAAGAAGAUGGAGCAACUAAACCGACAGACUCGACUAUUGAAGACACUCAGGCACAAAAACAUACAGAAAAUGUUCGCUUCAUUGGUUGGUGAGGAGAAGAAGAAUGUGAACAUCAUCACAGAGUUGUUUACAUCUGGUAGCUUGACACAGUACAGUACGAAGCACAAGAAAGUGAACAUCAGGGCUAUGAAACGAUGGGCAAAAAACAUUCACAAAAUGUUUGCUUCAUGGGUUGAUGUGAACAUCAUCACAGAGUUGUUUACAUCUGGUGCCAUACGAACCACAAGAAAGUGAACAUCAAGGCUAUGAAACGAUGGGCAAUACCGAUAUUAACAGGGCUAGAACAUCUGCACAGUCAGAAGCCAACAAUUAUACACAGGGAUUUCUAGUGUGACAACAUAUUCAUGAAUGGAAAUCAUUGAAAAGUGAAGAUUGGUAAUUUUGGCUUGGAGACAUACAUGCAGCAACACAAAAAAAAGUAUUAAAGGGUAAGAAUUCAGAUGCUUUCCACAAAAUUAAAGAUGCAGAAGUAAGAUCUUUCAUAGAGAGUUGUUUAGCUCCAGUAGAGAAAAAAGAAUGUCUGCAACAGAGCUGCCGAAUGGCUCUUUCCUCCAGAAAGAAUGACGUCCCUAUCUCAAUAUCUCUGGUCAAGAAUAUGUCUGAAGAUGGACAUGAAUCUAUCAGUUUCAUGCUUUGGAAGGGCCAGUUUCUGCUCAAAGGAAAUGUUGGUGUACCCAGCCAUGUUGAUUUAUGGCUAAGAUUUCCUGAUCCCAGCGGUUUUUUCAAGAGUGUUGAGUUUCCAUUUGAUGUGACUGAAGAUACCAGUCUUUGUGUCGCUGUGGAAAUGGUUGAGCAAUUUGGACUGACAGAAGAGAGUUGACUUAUUGUCGCGCAGUUGAUUGAUGCAUUCUUGGUCAUCCUGAUUCCUGAAUGGGCACCGUGUGUCACCAUUGGUCAGGUGGCAUAGAAUUCGAAUGCACAUAGAGCACCUGCGCUUAGGCCAGCUUGGUUAAAAGCCUCGAGGGACCUAAGCCAGACUUCUUUCCUGGCCUCCAGCUGGUCGGCCCACAGCUGCUUCCUCGUGUGCUCGGCUGCUUGCGUCGGGUGAUGGGACCUGGCCCUGGGAGGGAGUCCUGGCUGAGGGGAGCCAAGAGGGGACCCGACCCUUGGCUCCCAGCCCAGGCGAAGGAGCCAGCCUUGGGCGGAGCUUGGGUGGCCCCGGGCCCCGGACGGAGGACCUGACAUGGGAUGAUCCCGAUCCCCGGAGGAAGGACUUGACCUUGGGUAGCCCUGGGCCCUGGGUGGAUAACCUGACACCGGGCGGCUCUAUGUAGCUUCGUGUGGGAGGAGUGUGGUAGCUUCUGUCCCUUCUACUAUAUCAUACUACUGCAGCGCACAAUAGCAUGCCCCAAUCUCUAGCUGUCUGUUAUAGAUGGCUUGAGCCACAAUGCACCGCUUGAUCACCCUCUUUGCGACCAACAACCAUACAUUACGGGCUAACUCAGUGGAAUAAUUUUAUACUUUUAGUUAUUGAAGGCUAUUGCACAUGCAACUGAAAAGCUUCUUGGAUCCCCUUGCUGCACAUAUGCUCAUUUCAUUUUGAACAAAAAAGCAUGGCACCUAUAUGAUUCUUUGCCCUUUUGAGCAUGUCUCUCUUGUUAAUUUGACUGUUACCCUAAAGUAGAGGGGAGCAAAUCCAUGAUUGAGACAGUAAGACGUUGACCCCGUAGCUACACAUUUAGAAUUAAUGGGUCAGAGAUUGAAGCUGAUAUACACUCAUUGAGAGAUGGAGGAACUCUCGAUGCAACUUUGGAAGGAAUGAAGACCAGUCGAAGAUCAGUGGCAGUAACAGCAUGAGGAACUAACCGUUUUUCUCUGUCUGUGAGGAUGUCCGGUGAUACUAGCCCAUGAAAUUUAUUGUAUUAAUUAUUGUUUAUAGCAAAUCCAGUAGGAUGCUGGCAGCACUCAUGCACUGCCAAUUACUUACGGAACAUUAUGUAAUUCUUGGAUUUAAUUGGAGCUUGCAACGAGUAAAUAAAACUGAUAACAGACUGCAUUGUGAAAUCCUGCACGAAUAUAAACUAGGGAAAUUGAGAAGGUUACCACAGAUUCUAUAGGCAGCAUGCAAGAGCCAUCUGCAAAACAGGCUAGGCCAUUCAAGAUGGGACAAAUUCCGCUACCUUCAAGGCUCUUCCAUUUAACAAGAGGUUGGUCAUGUCAGUAAGGCUUCAAAGAGUAUCCACUUGGAAUGAAGAUAUUCCUGUAGGUUUGUUUCAUCUAAAAUUAAUCUUCUGAUGAAUGAUGUGAUAAUGAUCAAAUUCUUAUGGUCUUGGGCAGUAACUAUAUAUGCUCUUGGUUCCAUGCAAAUGCACUGCAUGUUAAUUUAAUCCCAACAUUUGUAGGAUAUUUAGGAACUGGAAUAAUUGUCUUGUUUUUUUGUAUUACGGGCUAUAAUUUUGGAGGCAAAUUGGUAAAGCAAGAGGUGUCGGGAUAAACCAGGGCUAAGGGGGGAAGGAAAUGGAGAGCAGAAUCCUACCCAUGAUAUCUACCGGCAUGGAUGCUGCUUAGAUUUCUUUAGAAUGGUUUUGUGCUACUUUGUUAUCCUGGUGCUCUAUUUCAGUACUAUAUGUUUGCUUUGAAUUGACCUCUCCUGACUAAAUGCCUUUAUGCACCCUUUCCAGUGUUCUCCACAUCAUGUUUCCUUUUAAAAGUAGAAAUAUAUAUACCACAUGGCAUGCUGGUAUUUCCUUUUAAUUAUAUAACAUAAAAUAUUCCAGCAUAGAAAUGUCCAUGCUACUCAAAGGUGGAAAUUUUGUUGUUAUAUCAACCUGUGCAAUUCUUUGAUGUUAUAUAUCUUUGUAUCUCACCAGCUAUACUUGAGAAGAAAUAGCCCAUUAUUCUUGCACAUGCACUUUCAUAUUAUAUGAGAUCCAUUUUUGUUAGCCAAUUGUUAAUAUCUACUGCACCACCUAUCCUGGUUUUCUUUGCCCCUUCCAUUUAGGCACUGUAGCACAUAUUCUGAAAGUAAACAAUAAUGUAAGACAUCACUUUCUUCACUGCAUUCAUAUGCUCCUGGAGCCUACUCUGUCCAAGGUAGUGAGAUUCAAAAGAUAUAAUUUAUUGCCAUCUAACUUAUACACAAAAACUAUUGGAGUUUUAAGGCGAUGUGACGUUUCUGAGUUAUUUAAACACUUGACAGCCCCAAAUAAAUGCUAAUACAACAACAUGAACUCCUAAUCAGUCCAGUCUAUUAGGGAUUAUGGUAAAAAGUGGACACUAGAUGAAUGAUGUACAUUCAUGUAUGAAACAUGUAUGACUAAUUAUUUAUCAUCUAGUUUGAUUGGGUUGAGUCUUGAGAUUGCUAGAAGUUGUACUGCAUUGUUCCUCUCUGCAUAUAAUUUGUAUAACAGUAGAAUUAAUUUGCAAUUUUAAAAACAACAGACUUUAAUACAAUGUUUUGACAAAGUUAAUUUGUCCUUUUUUUCCCCAAAUGUAACAUUGUUCCUUUCAGUCCAUUAACCAAUACAUUUACGUUUGUGCCACUACAAUGUGCUCCGUAGGCUUUAGCAUAAGGUAAUAUUUUACUUGCCAAUUGAUUGACUAUCAUCAUUGUCGUUAUGAGGUGCAUGUGUUAUUCUCUUCAAAUAUUGUUUUUCAUUCUCACAAUGAAUCAUGAUCGGGUUCAUCUAUAUUUAGUAUUCUUUUAUUUUCUUUUUCUUUUUGUAUGGUAUGCCUAAUUGUAAUCUUCUUUCAGCAUAACGGAAUAAUGGUGGGUAUUAUAGUGUCAUUUUUGUAGCAUUCAUAUUUUUAGUUGACUAGCAUUGUUUGGAAAGUGAGAUUUUUCAAACAGUUUCAUCCCUACAUAUAACUUUGUGCGGUAAAUAUAUAUUUUUAGAGAUGAAAUAAUAUAUUAGUAAUAUGUAGUAGGGGUAAAAAAUCAACACGGGUAGUGGGGUGGUGGAUUCACUAUCACCACCAUUGCCUUUUUUUUAUGGAGUAUAGAUAACUCACCUUUUAUUAUUUGCAAAUUGAUCUACACUUGGUAAUUCAAAUUGUGUAGGUUCACAAUUGUCGGAUCCCAUGAUGCUUAUAGCUAUUUCAAUGUCUCUAUGUUCUUUUAAUAGAUCUCAUUCUAUUUUGAUGUGUACUUUUUCUUAUUUCCUAUU